CCUCCAUCUGCCACCGGUGCAGCCUAGAAAAGACAAAAAGACAAAAAAAAAUUAGCCUACAGAGCAGUACAAAAUGUGAUGAGUUUUAUUGUCAGCCUUCUCUGUGGAGACCUAGACUAGUACUUCUCAGACUUUAAUGUGCAUAUAUUAAACAGCUGGGAAUAUGUUGAAAUGCAGAUUCUGAUACAGUAGGUCGGGGAGAGCCUGAGAUUCUUAGUGUCUAACAAGUUCUUAGGUGAUAUCAGUGCUCCAGGUCCCAAGACCACACUCCAAGUAAAAGCGCCUAGACUAUAUCUAGCUUCCAUAUUUCCCCUGUUUUGGGUAAAGGAGACAGCACUAUCAUUGUAAUUCCUUCUGUGGGCCAGGCACUCACACAUUCCUUAUCUCAUUUAAUCUUCUUACAAAGCCUGUGAGGUAGGUGGUGGUAAAGUUUAAGUGAUCUGCUAAAACCCAAACACACAAGCAAUGUGGAAUAGCGCAGUGUUUCUCAAACUUGAAUAAUGUACAUCCGCUUUUAAUAAGGAAAAAUUCUUUUAGCUCCUUAGUUUUUACUUUAUUUUGUUAUAAUGGUAUCUAGGUUUAUAUAUUACAUAUGAAUGCCUUAUGCUUUUAGCUCUUGCACAAAUAUAAAACCAAAAGUGUACAGAUUAGACACAAGCAACACUAAAACGAAUACAACUUAAAAUAACGUUAACGAAAUAUGGUGGAUGAUGAUGUUUUGCCAAAGUGAAACUGUCCCUCGUAAUGUGAUUAUGGUGUGAGUACCAGAGUGCAGGUUCUUUCGUGUUCCGCAUGCACCUAUGACCAUGGGCUAGGAGGUGACUCAGUUCUUCCACUCUUUUUCUCCGUUCACACUAUUACUUUCCUUUGUUUAACACAUAAUGAUGUUAUUUGGUUGUCCUCUAGCUUGAAUGCAUCGUUUUCCUAUUAAGUCAGCCUCUGUUCUCCAUAAGCCUUACACAACUAAAGCAGAAGCUGGCUUAACAUGCAAGUAAAGACAUGUACAAACCUAGGCAUUGAAACAUUCUGGCUACAUUUGGUGUUAAGGCAGUUAUCCAGAUCAUCCAGAACAUGAAUAUUAAUUAUUUUUAAAAUGUUCAUCAACAUGAAAAAAUGUCUAAUUCUCAUGGUAAACUCAUGGAUCUCUCACCCCACAAAGACGCAUAAUUCCUCUCUCUCUCCCUCUCCAGCGCACUCUCUCUCUCUCUCCAGCCCCCCCAACAAUAUUUUUCACUGUGAUUAACAAAAUUGGUUCUUGGGCUUCUGAUGUACCUGGGUUCAGACCCUGGGCACGUUUCUCAACAUUUUCUGAACCUUAGUGUUUUCAUGUAUUAAACAGGGAUAGUAAUACUCAUUGAAUGAUUAAGAGACAUAAAUGCACUCAUGAUCAUAAAGCAUGCGUAGUGUUUAGAAAUAGUAGUUAUCAUUGCUUUGAUUAGAAGUAAUAAUAACCGACAUUUGAGAACAUACCCUGUGCCUUCAACUUUGCUAAACUCAUUAUAUGUGUUAUCUUAUGUAUUGACUUGUAGGAUUGGGGUUCAAAUCCAAGUCUGACUCCAAAGCUCAUGCUCUUAUAAAAAAGAAUCUAAUAUAGACCGUCAAUCUCUCAAAGGAUCCACGCUUUUCUAGAAUCCAGCAGAUGGGAAAGAACCCGGAGGACUUGCCCACAAGGUUUUUUUAUGCCAGACCUGAAGGUGGCACGUGUCACUUCCAGUCAUGUUCCACUGUUUAGAAGUCAGUCAUGGGCUCCACCUAACUGCAAAGUCAGGAGGUAAGGAAUGGGGUCUAACUGUGGGUCCAGGAUAGGAAUUUGGUGCUGCUCAGCUUUCUCCAGUAAUCCAGGCAGUCUAUUCUGUGCUGGAAAAAAAUAAGCCAUGAAAAAUAUAUUCCAGCCAAGUAGAAAUAAAUUACUCUGUAAUGAAAGAAAUGCUCCCCUAGAGAGAUGUCAAGUGUCAGAGAAGGGCAUUGGCACAUGAUCACAACUUUGCCUGGAACAAAACCCCAUGGCAUAGCUCGGGACCUCUCUCAGCCGAAGCCCUGUCACCAGAUGUGCACAUGCUCUGGAGCAGACAGACUAGGCGGGCAUCCAGAUGCUGUUUAUUGAACUUAUCUUACUACUUAAAAGUCUGUGAAUCUAGAGCAUUGUCCUGUUAGCAAUGCCGGUUUGCAGGCCUCACCCCAGAGCCACGGCAUCUCACUCAGCAUUUUAUCAAGCUUCCCCCACGUGAUCUACGUCCACAUGAAGGUUUGAGUCACUGUUGUAAUCCUGGCUCCAAUGGUUGUGAUUAUUUGUAUGAUUUUAGCCAGAUCACUCACUCUGUCCCUUCACCUCUUCAUCUGUACGAUGGGAGUGAGGGUAUCUCCAGAGAUAACGUCCACAGAGUUAAGUAACACCUGACACUUAGCAAGUAAUGGAUAUUUUCUCACCCUAAGGGUUUAUUUUAAAAAUAACUAUAAGGAGAUACAGCUCUUUGAGCUGUAACCAUUGGACUCAUCCUCUUUCAAUCCUUCUUUAGUCACACUGAGGACUUUAGCCCUUUGAAAUGGUGAGAGGGUUUUUAAUUCAUAUAGUCUAGUGUUCCUUAGAAAUGAGUAAGCCCAGAAAAAUAAACAUUUCCAGAGUCAACAAGUAUAGACAGCAGCCAUGAUUUUAAUCUAUGAACUAUCAGGCUACAAACUUUAUACACAGAAAUGAUCCACUAAUCUGCUGACCUUGAGAGACACUAACUUCUUAAAGACUUUAGUCAUAACAUCUAUAGUUAGCUUAGAUUAAUUGAAAUAGGAGAAACCAGGUAUUUGUAGUCAAAUAAUUUUGUUCAACCAGAAAAUAACUUGGAUUUCAACCUUUCAGGAAUGUGUUUUAGUAGUAUAAUCUUCAUGCCUCAUUUAGUAAGUAUAAUAUAUGCACAUUGAAGUUAGUUUUUUGCUUUAUGUAAUAACUUAGAAAGGUAUCUAGAUCUUUCAGUGCCUUGAGUUUAUCUGUUUCAUACUGUUUCUCUUAAUCCUACGUGGCUAGUAUAGAAAGUUAUCAGAGAUAAGGCUAAUUAUGUACUGCCCUAAGAACACCAUCUUGGACUUAAAAGCAUCUUUUAAGUCAGUUCCUAAUAUCAGCUUAUGUGACUUUCUUUCUCUUAAAUUAUAAUCUUAGAAUUCCAGUUUAAUUAAGGUAUGUUUAUUGUUGUUAUAGGUGGUUUACCUUAUGCUCUCCAAAUUUUUUUAAGUUGAAAAAUAAAUUGGACAACCUUAAUGAUUAUGGCCUUCAUUCAAGGAAAGGAGCAAGCCAAGAACCACUCACAUUUUAGUUCAAAUAGGAACAUUUAAGCCUAAAUUUGUAUACAGUCCUAUGCAUUUAGAGCUGGCUUCCCAAUUCAUAGAAAAAAAAUCACCCUAACAUUUGCCAGGCAAAGUCCAGCAUGUUGCAUGUUGUUUGCUUUUUACAGCACUUAGUACAAGGCCAGAACUAAGAAGUGCUAAUACUUUCUUCUUGAAUCCUUCUUGUUGAUCUGUUGUCCUAGCAAAUCCAACUUUGAACCUCAUAUAAUCCACAUAGGAGUUACACAAGAAACGGGAAAAAGGCAGGAAUCUCAUUUUUUAGUCUCAGUAGUAAAAUGGCACAGUGUUAGAACACUCUGGGGGAGGGGCGGUUGUUUGUUCUGCUUUUAUGUUUAUAAUUUAUUGUAACAUGUACCCAAAUCAAAUUAUAAUAGAGUCCUCCAUUAUAUCCUUUUUGAGUAUAAAGACUUCUAUUUCUAUUCUAAUCUAAUGGAGUUUAUCCUUUUUUGGUAUGUUCAUUUUUAUUUUCUCUUUCCUUUUUUUUUUUAGCAGCUUUAAUGAGAUACAAUUCACAUAUCCUAAGAUUCAGCCAUUUAAAGUGUACAGUUCCCUGGUUUUUAGUACAUUCAGAGGUGCAGACCAUCACCGUUAGCUACUUUCAGACCAUUUUCAACCUCUUAAAAGCAAACCCACACCCUUCCCCGUCUUCGCCAUCCUCCCUCCUGUGCUGUGUGUCCUCCAGGACAUUUCGUGUUGCACUCAUCAGUAGAACAGAGUCUCCAUAAACAUUUGUUGAAUAAAACCUACUGAAGCCACCAGCCAGGGGUGGUACCUAAGGAGUAAUGGAAAGGGCAGUGGAAUUGGUGUCAAAAGGCUGGAUUCAGAUCCUCACUGAUACUCACUUGCUGUGUUGUUCUGGGUGUAGAGCCACUUAGCCUUCGCAGCCUUAGUUUUCACGUCUGUAAAAUGUAGACAGCAGUAUCUACCUCACCAGAUGCUUGUGGGAGUCACUUGAGAAAACAGUUAUAUACAGUGCCUGAGCCACACUAGGAAGCAAGUCAUAUUUGUCCAUUGAUGAAAGGGAAACCCCUAGGGCGGUGACCAGGGGAAGUAACUGCUGCCAGAUUAGACUUCAAAGCAAUCUGGUAGCAGAUAUUUCCCCCGGUCACCGUCCUAGGGGUUCACAGUAGUGGUGCGGCAUUUUCCUGUGCCUCGGUCUCCCCACUUUCCUUUCUCAGAGAAGAGAAUUCUAGAGUACAACUUCCAACUACUUCCUUUCCCUUACCUCAAACUGCUGCCUCUCCUGUUUCUGCACUGACAGCUGCCCCCCCACGUGUGGAACGUUGAGUCUCCUGGAAAAGCCAUACUUAGCAUAGCAGCAAGCACUCUGUCAGCUGCAAAGAGCUAGCCUUCCAGGGCAGAUUACCAAACCCUCAUCCCAAUUUAAGCAACAGUCAUUGUCGCUUUCCUUCUCCAGGGGCACAGAAACCCUCUCCAGGAGGAUAAGCUGUCUGAUUGAGGCACCUGGUAACCUAGGGUUGAUGGAUAGGCCUUUCAGGGACUAGGGGACAUAUUUUACUGUUUUUUCUGCUCUUAUAGCUACCACCUCCCUCUGCCCCUGGAGUUGCCUCAGCAGAUUUGCUAUGUAUGCAUCUUAUGAAAAUGUAUUCAAUGAAAUCCUAGCAUCUGUCAUUUACAGGGUACUAGGCAUUGUAAAUAUGUUAUUCGAAUCCUAACAAUGACUAUGCAAGCUAGGUAUUUCCUUCAUUUUACAGAAGGGGAAAAGAUUUUUGAAAUAAAGAAACUAGCCGUAGGUAACAUCAGGGAUUUGGUUUUGGUAGGGCAGGGAAGAUUGGGUAACUCUGCCAAUACAAUGGGCUAUCCGUUAGUGACAUUGGUCUGGCAUCUAGAUGCAUAGGCAUCACAUCUCAUUUGUGACCUUGAACUCAUUUCCUAGCCUCCUUGAAUUUCAGUUCUUUCAUAUGUAAAGAAUACUUAGAGUUGCUGUAAGGAUCACAUAACUUAAUCGUUCUAAAAUUCUCAUAAAUAUUCGCUAUUGUCUUAUUUAAAUAUACUAACUGCUAUGAUCAAAGUGUCACAUUGCAGACUUACCAGAUGCAUUUGGCUCUUUAAUUUUAAAUUAGGUCCCAGUACCAAUUCAGAAGAUGUAUGAUAUAUUUUGUAUGUCUCUCCUUCCAGGGAAAAUGACAUUUUAAAUCAAGGGUUAGCAAACUUUUUUGGUGAAGGGCCAGAUAGUAAAUAUUUUAGGCUCUUCAGGCCAUAUGGUCCCUUAUCACAGCUAUUCAUCUAUGUUGCUAUAAUGUGAAAGCAGCCAUGGAUAAUGCUUAAGCAAAUGGGUGUGCCUGUGUUCCAAUAGGACUUUGUUUAUGGAGGCCAGAAUUUAAAUUUUAAUAAUUUUCAAGUACAUUAAAAUACUAUUUCUCUUUACUUUCCACCAUUUAAAAAUGUAGAAGUCACACUUAGCUCAAAGGUCAUUUAAAAACAGGCAGUGGGCUGUAGUUUGUCAACCCCUUUUAAAAUAACUCAGCAGUUCUUUAAAGCUGGUGCAUCUAGCAGAGUUCUUAUUAGGGAAAAGCAAUGUGGAGGAAAAAGAAUUAAGAGCUGUUGACCAAUUAACUAGCCAGCCCAGAUCAUAGCUACGUUAAUCACUCCCUUGUCUGGCACAAUCACGCAGCACCUCUGAGCUUAACGUCUCCAUCUGUAAAAAUGAAGUAGUCAUAGCCCUUUGACUAAUGGGGAAGGGAGCUUAAUAAUAGUUGUCACUUAUUGAAUGUAUACCUUUGUGUUAGAUAUUUGGAUCGUUUUAGCUCCAAUCUGAAGCUGCACCUCGGAUGGGACUUGAACCCACAGUCUUCCUUCCAACUGAAAUCGCACAACUUGUCUCAAGAUAUACUGAAGCUCAGGUUCUCUAUGUCUCAGCACAGAGGAAUUCAGCAAGAGGCAAAGUGAUAAGAAGUAAAUUUAUUGAGAGAGAGAGUGUGGGCCAUCAGAGAAGGCAAGAGUAGCCUGAAAUAUACACAUUCCAUAGGUAGAGUGCAGUCUGUCUCAAAAGGUGAGAGAGUGGGCCUGGGGGAAACACUCAGAAGGUGAGAGAGCAGCCUGAGAUAUGGGGUGUUUAACUUUUAUGGGCUGGGUAAUUUCAUAGGCUAAUGUGUGGUAGGGUAUUCCAACAUUUUUGGAGAAGGGGCAGAGAUGUCCAGGCAUUGAGCCCCUGCCCACUUUUUGGCCUUUUAUGGUCGUCCUUGGAACUGUCACGGCACCUGCGGGCAUGUCAUUUAACUGAUGUAUUACAGGGAGCGCAUAAUGAGGCUCAGGGUCCACCAGAAGUCAGUUCUGACACCAUCUUGGGCUAAUCUGUUCCAACCAGAUUUUGUUGUAUCCUCAAUGACUAGCUCAUUUCUUUUAAAGGUUGUGCCAUGUCUCCUUCCCUCUGGUCUCAAUUCUUAUUAUCUACACUUUACAGAUGAAGAAAUGGAGGCCCAGAGGCAAAUAACCUGCUCAAGGUUACAACACCAGUAUCUAAACCCAGGUGUCUGGCUCCCCUCAGCCCUCCAACUCUCUCAAUAGAAUACAGACCCCAUGAGAGUGAAGACCUUAUUGGACUUGCUCUGUGCUAUAUCCCAGUGCCUAGACUAAUACCUGGUAUAUAAUAGGCAUUGCAUAAGUGUUUGUUGAAUAAAUGACUGAAUGAACUUUUCCAUUAUGCCACUCA